GAUGAACGCUAGCUACAGGCUUAACACAUGCAAGUCGAGGGACCGGCGCCCGGGUGAGUAACACGUAUCCAACCUGCCCUUUACCCGGGGAUAGCCUUUCGAAAGAAAGAUUAAUACCCGAUAUAAAGGAUGGGGAUGCGUUCCAUUAGGUUGUUGGUAAGAUAACGGCUCACCAAGCCUUCGAUGGAUAGGGGUUCUGAGAGGAAGGACCAGCAACAUGGAGAUGAGACAGAGUCCAAACGCCUACGGGAGGCAGCAGGGAGGAAUAGUGAACAAUGGGCGCAAGCCUGAACCUGCCAAGUAGCGUGAAGGAUGAAGGGUUAUGGGUCGUAAACUUAGUUUAUAUAGGAAUAUGUAUUAUAUGAAUAAGGAGCAGCUGACUCCGUGCCAGGCGCCGCGGUAAUGC
rnacentral:rRNA from 1 species